CUGAGUGUUUUCACCAUGACUUGGGCUCCACUAUUCCUUGUCUUCCUUUGUCACUUAACAGGAUCAUGUGCCCAAUUUGUGCUUACUCAGCCAAAGUCUAUGUCUACAUCUCUAAGAAGCACAAUCAGUCUGCCUUGCAAACGCAGCACUGGUAGCAUUGGAAGCAACUAUGUGCACUGGUACCGGCAGCACAUGGGGCGUUCCCCCACCCUUAUGAUUUAUGAAGAUGAUAAGAGACCAUCUGGAGUUCCUGAUAGAUUCUCUGGCUCCAUUGACAGCUCUUCAAAUUCAGCCAUCCUGAGGAUCAAUAAUGUGGAGGAGAAUGAUGAGGCUGACUACUACUGUCAGUCUUAUAGUAGUGGUGUUAGUCACAGUGAUGUGAACCAUAAAGGAAACUAUGGAGACUUUUGA